UAGUUAUUGCCCGUGACUCACGUGAGGAUGACCAUUAAGCCCUAAUUCCCCUUAUUUUCUUCAUUGUAUGAAGAGUAUCCAAUCAAAUUUAACAAUUUUAUAUAAAUAUUCAAGUACAAUCACCCGUUUGUAAAUUAUUUUAAUACAAACACUAAUUUGUUACUUUUUCAGUUGGAGUACUAACUUGUAAAUCAGGUCAUAGUGCAGAUAUUUAUCCCCACAAACCUUAAAAACGGCACGGCUCACUAAUAACUGAAGAAAACCUAAAUUAACAAUUUAGUAUUAAGGGGUAUAUAUAGAAAAAAAAUAAUAUUCACAAAUUUCAAAGAAGAGACUAUUUUUUAAUGAAACAGGGUAACAUAUCCAAUUCACAACCCAUGGGAAAGACACGAGAAAUACAAAAUCAAACAACAAAUUAGCAAUAACCCACAUCUACUUGUUCUAAAAAAAUAAUCAAAUAAAGAAAAACCAAGCAACCUAACCUACCAAAUCCCCUAAAAAGGAGGAGGAGCAGGAGCAGGGAAACCCAAGAAGGGCCUUUUUCCUCCUCCAUACCCAUUAAUGGCGGCAGAUGAUGGAACAGAGUAAUGCAAAUCAUUCUUGAUGCUGUGAAACCCUUUCUUGAAAACCCCAAAUCCAAACAGCAUCCCAAUUGCAAUUACGACCAAGAUCAGGCACGAGCAAAACAUGCACAUUCUGCACCCACAACACAUCCUUCGUUUUUUAUUAAUUUCUGCUUCUUCUUGAUGAACAGACUUAAUUUUUGUGGGUUUGAUUUGAAGAUCUGAUUUGUUGAGGAAUUUGGGUGGGAUCUGAAGUCCUUAUAAUAAGGGGGAAGGGGAAGGGGAAGGGGAAGGGGGUGUUUCAGGUGGGAUGGGAGAGAGAGAGUUGUUGAGUGUAAGUAGAUGAUAAUAGGAGCGUAUGGGGUUCAUUUUUCACUUGUCAUUUAAUUUGGUGAUUGGAGCGGUUACUCUACGCUACGUUUCUAUUUGGGAAAACGAAAAGCAAUCAACCGCCACUUAUUAUAU
rnacentral:lncRNA from 1 species